UACGGAGGGUGCGAGCGUUAAUCGGAAUAACUGAGCGUAAAGCGCGCGUAGGCGGUUUUUUAAGUCUGAUGUGAAAGCCCACGGCUCAACCGUGGAGGGUCAUUGGAAACUGGAAAACUUGAGUGCAGAAGAGGAAAGUGGAAUUCCAUGUGUAGCGGUGAAAUGCGCAGAGAUAUGGAGGAACACCAGUGGCGAAGGCGACUUUCUGGUCUGUGAUUGACGCUGAGGCUCGAAAGCGUGGGUAGCGAACAGG
rnacentral:rRNA from 1 species